rnacentral:rRNA from 1 species
AUUGAACGCUGGCGGCAGGCCUAACACAUGCAAGUCGAACGAGUGGCGGACGGGUGAUUCAUGUCUGGGAAACUGCCUGAUGGAGGGGGAUAACUACUGGAAACGGUAGCUAAUACCGCAUACCAUCGGAUGUGCCCAGAUGGGAUUAGCUAGUAGGUGGGGUAACGGCUCACCUAGGCGACGAUCCCUAGCUGGUCUGAGAGUAUGACCGGCCACACGGGAACUGAGAAACGGUCCAGACGCCUACGGGAGGCAGCAGGGGGGAAUAUUGCACAAUGGGCGCAAGCCUGAGGCAGCCAUGCCGCGUGGAUGAAGAAGGCCUUCGGGUUGUAAAGUACGUUCAGCGGGGAGGCGUUACCCGCAGAAGAAGCACCGGCUAACUCCGUGCCAGCAGCCGCGGUAAUAC